rnacentral:rRNA from 1 species
UACGAAGGGGGCUAGCGUUGUUCGGAAUUACUGGGCGUAAAGCGCACGUAGGCGGAUCGUUAAGUCGGGGGUGAAAUCCUGGAGCUCAACUCCAGAACUGCCUUCGAUACUGGCGAUCUUGAGUCCGGAAGAGGUGAGUGGAACUCCUAGUGUAGAGGUGGAAUUCGUAGAUAUUAGGAAGAACACCAGUGGCGAAGGCGGCUCACUGGCCCGGUACUGACGCUGAGGUGCGAAAGCGUGGGGAGCAAACAGG